UACGGGGGGGGUAAGCGUUGUUCGGAAUUACUGGGCGUAAAGGGCUCGUAGGCGGCCAACUAAGUCGGACGUGAAAUCCCUCAGCUUAACUGGGGAACUGCGUCCGAUACUGGAUGGCUUGGAUUUGGGAGAGGGAUGCGGAAUUCCAGGUGUAGCGGUGAAAUGCGUAGAUAUCUGGAGGAACACCUGAGGCGAAGGCGGGCUACUGGGCUGAUACUGACGCUGAUGCGCGAAAGCCAGGGGAGCGAACGGG
rnacentral:rRNA from 1 species